rfam:Triticum urartu cultivar G1812 contig1030152, whole genome shotgun sequence.
UUUGUACUCCCUCCGUCCGGAAAUACUUGUCAUAGAAAUGGAUGUAUCUAUAACUAAAUUACAUCUAGAUACAUCCAUUCCUUGGACAAGUAUUUCCGUACGGAGGGAGUACUAA